rnacentral:rRNA from 1 species
AUUGAACGCUGGCGGCAGGCCUAACACAUGCAAGUCGAGCGGAUGAAGGGAGCUUGCUCCUGGAUUCAGCGGCGGACGGGUGAGUAAUGCCUAGGAAUCUGCCUGGUAGUGGGGGAUAACGUCCGGAAACGGGCGCUAAUACCGCAUACGUCCUGAGGGAGAAAGUGGGGGAUCUUCGGACCUCACGCUAUCAGAUGAGCCUAGGUCGGAUUAGCUAGUUGGUGGGGUAAAGGCCUACCAAGGCGACGAUCCGUAACUGGUCUGAGAGGAUGAUCAGUCACACUGGAACUGAGACACGGUCCCGACUCCUACGGGAGGCAGCAGUGGGGAAUAUUGGACAAUGGGCGAAAGCCUGAUCCAGCCAUGCCGCGUGUGUGAAGAAGGUCUUCGGAUUGUAAGGCACUUUAAGUUGGGAGGAAGGGCAGUAAGUUAAUACCUUGCUGUUUUGACGUUACCAACAGAAUAAGCACCGGCUAACUUCGUG